rfam:Pteropus alecto contig1679, whole genome shotgun sequence.
AACUGUGAAAAUAUUCUACACACUGAACAAGCCUGAUGCCGUCUUAUCUCAGAAGCUAAGCAGGUCUGGCCUGAUUAGUAUUUGGAUGGGAGACCACCUGGGAAGACCAGGUGCUGUAGGUG